AGCUUUGCACAGUAACACUAUUAUAGCCAAUGAGGUUUAUCUGAAGUGUGAUUGUUGCUAAUUGAAAAUUUUUCCCAAUACCUCGCCAUGACAACUUGAAAUGUAGUCAGUAUUGGCAAUUUUUGACAGUCUUUAUGGAAA
rnacentral:snRNA from 1 species